rnacentral:rRNA from 1 species
GAUGAACGCUGGCGGCGUGCCUAAUACAUGCAAGUCGAGCGAACAGACGAGGAGCUUGCUCCUCUGACGUUAGCGGCGGACGGGUGAGUAACACGUGGAUAACCUACCUAUAAGACUGGGAUAACUUCGGGAAACCGGAGCUAAUACCGGAUAACAUGUUGAACCGCAUGGUUCAACAGUGAAAGACGGUCUUGCUGUCACUUAUAGAUGGAUCCGCGCCGCAUUAGCUAGUUGGUAAGGUAACGGCUUACCAAGGCAACGAUGCGUAGCCGACCUGAGAGGGUGAUCGGCCACACUGGAACUGAGACACGGUCCAGACUCCUACGGGAGGCAGCAGUAGGGAAUCUUCCGCAAUGGGCGAAAGCCUGACGGAGCAACGCCGCGUGAGUGAAGAAGGUCUUCGGAUCGUAAAACUAUGUUAUUAGGGAAGAACAAAUGUGUAAGUAACUAUGCACGUCUUGACGGUACCUAAUCAGAAAGCCACGGCUAACUACGUG